AGCCCCAAGCAGGGAGCUGCUUGGUCAGUACAGCACAUAUCACUAUAGAACAUCUGACCAACAGACCCCUGUCAGGGAACCUAAAUGUGCCGACGCCCAAAACAUAGAUUCCAGGAGAAACUUGUACUGACGCCCAAAACAUAGAUUCCAGGAGAAACUUGUGGGCCACGUAUGGUGGCUAGUGAUAUGCUGUCAGGCAUUGGGUAUAAAAGACUCUGCACUCACAACUGCAGGCGGAACUCUUGUGCUGAGCUUCCCCUGGUGUAUACCAGAAUAAAGGACCCUCCUGCUUGAUUGCAUUGUCUGGGGGUCUUCCAUGGUGGUGGGUGACAAACUGGACCUUAACAUUUGGGGUCUCGCCGGUACCCCUCCACCUUGGAACCCCCCAGACAGGAGGGCCUAAGGCACUGCCUUGGACCGGACCUUCAGGGGCUGACUUCCCCUUGUGACCGGUCUGCCAAUCGAGGGAAGGAGUGACAGGACACCCUUCAGAUCUCCAGGCAGUUCUCCACCGACCUGGGACCCUGGAAUCCACUGAGGAUGCUCCCCUAAAGACACUGUCUGCAGCCUUCCCUCCCCCUCUCUCCUACACAAAGUCCUGGUUUUCUACACUUCUAUUUUAGGGGAUGACUCUCCCUUGUGACCUGUCUGCCCAUCAGGGGAAGCAGUCGCUGGACAUCCCUCACAUCUCCAAGCAGAUUCCCAGCUACCUAGGACCCAGGCACUCACUGAGGACAUGUCCCUGGGACCCUGUGCCCACAGCCUUUCUGCUGGAAGAUCUCAAAUUCCUCUUCCCAGAAAGAUCCAACCUAAGAACACUUUGGAAUAAGUAGCCCCAUCCCCUCCUCGUUAUCUUAAAUCUCUCUUGUUCUAGCCAUGACUAUCUCUUUCCUUACAUUCUUUGUCCUUUUUGGUAUUUCAAAUCGUACAUGCCAAGUCAGCUGGAAAUAUAAUUCUCUGACUCGGCUUGGGGAAGCAGUAAGCCAAAGUGGGUCCCUCUAACUGUUGGGUCUGUAUGAAGCACCCCAAAAGUGGAGAGAACCCCAGGCCUCUAGCCCAAGGUCUCAGUGCCUCUGAGGUGUAUCCAAGACCUGAGGCUUCAAGGAGAUUAGCAACCACUCCAGUUUUGGCUACUCCCCUGUGGGAUAUGUGGGUUUGUAACCUUGUCAUCUCUCUAGUUGCUUCUAGGGUAAAAGCACUCAUGGGAGUCACCCAGAUGCUAGAUUCCACCAUAACCUCGGCAAACAUCCCAGCCUGAUGCUCUCGACAUCAUGGCCUACAGUCAAUACCUCUCUCUCCUAAUGUUAGGCAGGGAGAUCUCUACACCCAUUCUCAGCUGUGAAGAAGUUACAGAAGACAGUUCCCCGUCCCUUUUUCCCUUACAUAUUAGGAGAGGGGGGAGAUGACAUGGGUACUGUACCCCCAGAAACCCAGGCCAACUAUUAUCAGGGAAACUCCCUUGCCCUUGCAUCCUUGUGACUCAACCUAGAAACACCCAAUGACCCCACCCAGGGUCCUGAGAUGUUUACCCUCUUUUGUCCUCUAGAUUUAAGGUGGACAAAGAAAUGAAUCUUUAUGCCUCCAGGCAUGCCACAGUCAGAUGACCACCUCACCCCACCAAAUGCCUGAGGGACUAACACUCACUCUGGUCUUGUCCAUACUAGGACAUAGCAUCUAAAAAGAAUAUAAACCCCAGAACUGAUGUCGUCUGGGGGACAGCCUCUCUAUCCAUGCUGUCCCCAUGGAAGAACAGCCUCUCUAUUCAUGCUGUCCUCCCAAGGAACUGUUCCCCAUCUUGCUGUUCUACCUUGCUAUCCUCCUGGCCACUCUCAACAUUACUUUCUAAAUUAAUAAAUCUUUUUUUGUUUUUAAGCUAAAAAAAAAAAAAGAGGGGUUUGAUUCAAUGAGGUGGCACUGUGUCUCCCUCAGAGGAGUUAUGGCUAUUGAGGUCGGAACUGUCCCUGUCAGACAAGAUGACCUCUUGUAACUUCCACCUCCCAAGGGGGCAACAACUGCCAGUCCCCAAGGGUUUUGAUAAGAUCAACUGCCAAGGAAAGUGAUAGCUUCCUUGGUCAGAGAUAUUGAGUCAUAGGGGUUGGAAUCAACCCCCUCCUUGUGAGAACUUAAUCCCCUUUGCUUGAUCCCUAAGAUAAACCCUAACCCAAAGUCUAAAUAUUUCCAAAUGGUUUUUUGAGCUUAUUUGGGGCAGGUGAUGGCAAAGGUAUGAAGGGAAAAAGAAGGCGGGUAAAGGGGAGCCCUAAAAGUUGCCCUCCCUCCCCCAACCACCCCCCUGCCACCCUCCCCCCCUUGUAGAUUGGCUUUUCAAAGUCUGGAGGCCAGAGGCUUUUUGUGCCCUGGCCUCCUCUCCUUUUGCCAACUGCUUCUUAAUCUUAUUCUUAAAGUUAACUAACUCUUAUGGUGCAGUUCAAGGAACAAGGUUAGGGAAAGAGAGAGACCCCAUGGGAAGGAUCUGGUUGGCUAUGGCCAGAAGAGGCCAAACUAAAUCCUUCUUGAGAAGAGGUGUAGCUGUCAUUGCAGAGUCUCAGUGGAGGUAUUUUUGGGGUCUCUGAAGGAAGACAGGUCUCAGAUGGAUGGUCUCUUACCUCUGCUCCCAGAAAACCACCUUCCCUCUUCACUUCCCAGUCUGGAAGUAACUCCUCCUGUUAGUUGGCUUCAAAGUUCCAGGCAGCUCUCAGAACCCACAGCAUUCUCCUUCCUUCCCCUACUGCUUCUCUGACCAAUCUGUCAAUCAGGCUGGCAUCUCUCUUCCUUACCUUUCAAAUCCCACUUUUCGUCUUGUGCAAUUGUUAACCAAACAAGGCACCAGGGUUAAACAAGUAACUUAAUAUUUUUGUUCUUAGCACUAGGUUUUUAAACUAUUUUUCUAUCCCAUCCCCAAAAGAAAAAAAAAUCUAUUUUCCCUAAACUCCCUUCUACACUUUAACACUAUACCUAAGAUGGGAUUUAUGGGGAAAAGGUUAGGAUAGGUGAUUUCUAGGUUACAUGGAAUUGAUACAUUGGAAUAAAGUUUUUUUGGACCAACAAUGUCACAAAACAAUUUGAAACAAUUUAACUUAAUGCUACUUGACAUCCAUUUCUUACUGUUACAUUUGAAUUAUGAUAACUUUGUAAAACCUUAUUCUAUUUUCUUUUACUUAGUGCUUAACUGAGAGAAUAUUUCUUAUCUUGCUUUCUUUAUCUUAAUCUUAUUUCCUAUGUCUGUCCCUCAUCUGACUAGCCUAAUAUCAAACUUCCCUCGUCCCUGUCUUUCUGUCCCAAUGUUAGCCUUAUUUUAUGUUGUUAAUGCUAUUGUUGUUAGUGGUACCCCUAUCCUUCACUCUAUGUGGUGUUAGUAGAUUUAUGACACAUGCGAUUUACAUCAUGUACAUGAAAUUUUCACUGUACAACAUUUACAUAUGAUAUGUAUACACAUAAUAUAUAAAUACACAAGAGUUUUGCUUCUGGUGUCAACCAGACAGAAAGGUAUUUUAGUCCUUUUAUCUGUUUGAGCACUAGCAAGACUUUAUUUAUAGUUUUUACAUUUUUUAUUGUCAUUAAUCCUGCUUAUUUAAGACAGGAUUCCCAAGGCAGUGUGUGUUGUGGUCAUGUCCUAGAUGUGUAGUGUUUGUGUGUAACAUACUUAAUCCAUGUUGAAAGAUGUCUUUGUCUGCAUGUUGUCUAAAGUGAUCAAUCUUUCCUAAAGCUGUGCAUGUGUUGGAUAUAUGUCCCUAAUGUGAAGUUAAUGAGUUCACAGUGCACUAUCUUAUGUGAGCGGUCCCACGAAGAUCUGUCUUCUAGAUUAUUCUUGAGUAAAGUUUUUCUUUUGGCUGUUCAUUAUAGUUCAUUCAGUUCUUUUACUGGU